ACUGUUUCCGUAGGUGACCUGCGGAAGGAUCAUUAACAAAUACAACUUAUGUUGAAACCCAUUCUGUGUAUCUUUACUUGUUGCUUCCCCGUUUACUCGGGGAAGGUCAUCAUAAACUCUGCUUUCUUUGAAGUCAGUCUGAAUUUGUUUAUCUAUAAACUUUAAAACUUUCAACAACGGAUCUCUUGGUUCUCGCAUCGAUGAAGAACGCAGCGAAAUGCGAUAAGUAGUGUGAAUUGCAGAAUUCAGUGAAUCAUCGAAUCUUUGAACGCACAUUGCGCCCUCUGGUAUUCCGGGGGGCAUGCCUGUUCGAGCGUCAUUAAAACUACUCAAGCUAAGGUUUACCUUCUGCUUGGUCUUGGAAUUGGAGGCUUAAGUCUCCUUUCCGAAAUAUAGUGGGCGAAUUUUUUGUGCCGUAAAUGUAAUAAAUCAUUGCCAUUGAAAGCAUGGAUAUAUUCUGCCAUAACCCCCUCUAUUUUCUAGUUUGACCUCGGAUCAGGUAGGGAUACCCGCUGAACUUAAGCAUAUCAAUAAGCGGAGGAAAAGAAACCAACAGGGAUUGCCUUAGUAACUGCGAGUGAAGCGGCAAAAGCUCAAAUUUGAAAUCUGGGGCCUCACAGCCUCCGAAUUGUAAUUUCGCGAUGCGUCUUUGACGGAUGGCCCUACUUUAAGUUCCUUGGAACAGGACGUCACAGAGGGUGAGAAUCCCGUGAUAGGUAGGGCCUGAAGCAUAUAAUACGUAUUCUACGAGUCGAGUUGUUUGGGAAUGCAGCUCAAAAUGGGUGGUAAAUUUCAUCUAAAGCUAAAUAUUGGCGAGAGACCGAUAGCGCACAAGUAGAGUGAUCGAAAGAUGAAAAGCACUUUGAAAAGAGAGUUAAAAAGUACGUGAAAUUGUUGAAAGGGAAGCGCUUGAGACCAGACUCCAUCUGUGGUGAUCAGCGGUG
rnacentral:rRNA from 1 species